ensembl:lncRNA
AAUGGUAGUGGUAAUGGUAGUGGUAAUAGUAGUGGUUAUGGAGGUGUUAAUGGAGGUGUUAAUGGAGGUGUUAAUGGAGGUGUUAAUGGAGGUGGUAGUGAACAUAUGUUUAUUUAUAAUAAUGUACAAAACGAAAUGUAUAGAGAUCCAAAUUUUCAUCGUAACGUAGAUAUAAAUUAUACUAGAGAUAUAAAUAUACCUAACACAAAUAAUUCGAAAGAUGUAAAAAAUAAUAAUACAUUUGGAGAUAAUAUAGUAGUAAAAAAUAAUAUGAGAAAAGAAAGUAUAAAAUCUUUUAUAAAUAGUAAUAAUUUUAAUAAAAAAAAUCUACAUCUAGUAAUAAUGAUACAUUUGUAACAGGUCAUGAUCAAGUUAACAACAACACCUCUGUAAAUAUUAUUUCUGACCCUACUACAUCGGGUAAUAUAUCAAAUAUGUCCAUGGGAAAAAACAUAAUGAAUAAUAUUAAUAAGAAAGAAAAUACAACACAGAGGGAUAUAAAUAAUAAUAUAUUUAGUACUGGUAUUAAUAUGAUGAAAACAUCCGUUAACAACAAUUUAGAAAAUAAUACAACUAAUACUAUGAAUAAUUAUAUUGAUGGAAUGAAUAGUAAUAACAACAAAAACAUAUCAACUCUCGCUACGAACAAUAGUACUGAUAAUAAUAAUAAUGGCGAUAGUUCUAGUAUAAAUAAUAACAACAGUAAUAACAAUAAUAAUAACAGUAAUAACAAUAAUAAUAACAGUAAUAACAAUAAUAAUAAUAAUAGUAAUAGUAAUAUGCAUAGAUACAACCGAUACAUGCCAAACAGAAAUAAUAUAGGUAACCCAUUAUUUAACCAAAUGUAUAAUUUGAAAUUACCUUAUAAUAAUAAUGAUGUUAUAAAUUAUAAUUUUAAUUUACAUAAUUUUUAUCAAAUGGGUUGUGAUAACAACAUGAAUAAAUCAUGGAUGAAUAGAUAUACUGGUUAUAUGGGACCAGUGGAGGUACCUCCUUACAAUAAUAAUCUUAACAGUGGUAACAUUGGCAAUAGUAGUAACAGUGGUAACAUUGGCAAUAGUAAUAACAGUAAUAACAGUAAUAACAGUAGUAAUAAGGAACAUGGGGGAAAUACUAGUGGUAUGAAUAACAAUAUAAACAGUCAAGUUCCUUAUAAUUCAUACAAUAUCCAUACACAAUCUAAUAAAAACAUAAAUGGUUUACAAACAAGUGGACGAACUAACUAUACAACGAAAGAAUCUAAUGGAAAUAAUUUAUCGACAUUUUAUUUAUAUAAUAAUGUAAAAAAUCAAAAUAAUGUAAAUGGUGUUGAACUGACAAAUAAACCAAGUACUGGAAUAAUUGAUAAUAUAAUAAAUAGUUUAAAUAACAAUACGAAUAAUAACAUACCUUCUGAUCAAACUAAUUCUUAUACUGGUUCAAAUAAAAAUGAGAAUAUAUCAUUAUGCACAAAUAAUGGAAAUGUAGGUAGUGAUAAUGUAUGUAGUGACAAUGUAUGUAGUGACAAUGUAGGUAGUGACAAUGUAGGUAAUGACAAUGUAGGUAAUGACAAUGUAGGUAAUGACAAUGUAGGUAAUGACAAUGUAGG